AGGUGUGGCAAGCAGGGACACUUGA
rnacentral:misc_RNA from 1 species